rnacentral:rRNA from 1 species
GAUGAACGCUGGCGGCGUGCUUAACACAUGCAAGUCGAACGAGAAGUGAAGACGGAAACCUUCGGGCGGAAGACUUUAUUUCGAGUGGCGGACGGGUGAGUAACGCGUGGGUAACCUGCCUCAUACAGGGGGAUAACAGUUGGAAACGACUGUUAAUACCGCAUAAGACCACAGCACCGCAUGGUGCGGGGGGUAAAAACUCCGGUGGUAUGAGAUGGACCCGCGUUCGAUUAGCCAGUUGGCGGGGUAACGGCCCACCAAAGCGACGAUCGAUAGCCGAUCUGAGAGGAUGACCGGCCACAUUGGGACUGAGACACGGCCCAAACUCCUACGGGAGGCAGCAGUGGGGAAUAUUGCACAAUGGGGGAAACCCUGAUGCAGCGACGCCGCGUGAGUGAAGAAGUAUUUCGGUAUGUAAAGCUCUAUCAGCAGGGAAGAAAAUGACGGACCUGAGAAGAAGCCC